CCUACGGGUGGCAGCAGUGAGGAAUAUUGGUCAAUGGACGAGAGUCUGAACCAGCCAAGUCGCGUGAAGGAUGACUGCCCUAUGUGUUGUAAACUUCUUUUAUAUGGGAAUAAAAUGUUCCACGUGUGGGCUUUUGUAUGUACCAUAUGAAUAAGCAUCGGCUAACUCCGUGCCAGCAGCCGCGGUAAUACGGAGGAUCCGAGCGUUAUCCGGAUUUAUUGGGUUUAAAGGGAGCGUAGGUGGAUUGUUAAGUCAGUUGUGAAAGUUUGCGGCUCAACCGUAAAAUUGCAGUUGAAACUGGCAGUCUUGAGUACAGUAGAGGUGGGCGGAAUGCGUGGUGUAGCGGUGAAAUGCUUAGAUAUCACGAAGAACUCCGAUUGCGAAGGCAGCUCACUGGACUGCAACUGACACUGAGGCUCGAAAGUGUGGGUAUCAAACAGGAUUAGAUACCCCGGUAGUC
rnacentral:rRNA from 1 species